AGCAGCCGCGGUAAUUCCAGCUCCAAUAGCGUAUAUUAAAGUUGUUGCAGUUAAAAAGCUCGUAGUUGAAUUUCGGGAUUGACACAUCGGUCGUGCCUUAAGGGGUAUGAACUGGUGUAGUCAAUUUCUCACCUUCUGGAGAACCGCGAUGCCCUUAUUGGGUGUCGCGGGGAACCAGGACCUUUACUUUGAAAAAAUUAGAGUGUUUAAAGCAGGCAUUUUGCUUGAAUACAUUAGCAUGGAAUAAUAAAAUAGGACGGCAUGAUUCUAUUUUGUUGGUUUCUAGGAUCACCGUAAUGAUUAAUAGGGAUAGUUGGGGGCAUUAGUAUUCAAUUGUCAGAGGUGAAAUUCUUGGAUUUAUUGAAGACUAACUACUGCGAAAGCAUUUGCCAAGGAUGUUUUCAUUAAUCAAGAACGAAAGUUAGGGAUCGAAGACGAUCAGAUACCGUCGUAGUCUUAACCAUAAACUAUAGCCGAUAGGAAUCAGACGAUGUUAAUUUUUAUGUACUUCGUUUGGCAC
rnacentral:rRNA from 1 species